rnacentral:rRNA from 1 species
UACGUAGGUGGCAAGCGUUGUCCGGAUUUAUUGGGCGUAAAGCGCGCGCAGGCGGUCCUUUAAGUCUGAUGUGAAAUCUUGCGGCUCAACCGCAAGCGGUCAUUGGAAACUGGGGGGACUUGAGUACAGAAGAGGAAAGUGGAAUUCCACGUGUAGCGGUGAAAUGCGUAGAGAUGUGGAGGAACACCAGUGGCGAAGGCGACUUUCUGGUUCUGUAACUGACGCUGAGGCGCGAAAGCGUGGGGAGCAACAGG